GCCAAGGAAUUCAAGAAAAUUCAUGGUCAAAUACUCAAGAAACCUAGGAUUAUGGUUUAGUUUCAAUUCUGAGUUUGUGGAGAGUUAUACAUUAGUCCCAUAAUGGUGGCUUGUUAGCAGAAGAUUUUCUGCAUACUAAAUGAGCCUCAGGAGUCUGUUGAGCCAUGGAAGAAUACUGUUUAUUGCAAGUCUUCCUUGGACAAGACUGGAACCUGCUACCUGUCAGGAUGUGGUAGAUUGGCUAGUGUUCCCAAAUAGAUUUACAGUUUGUUUGGUUUGUGGGAAGAGGAAAUGAAGAGAAGUGAAGUUGAGCUAACUUCUUUUGUUUGAGUACACAAACAAGGAGGGAAAAGGAGAGCGCCAGUGGGAAAUUAGCAUGCUUGUAAUAUUCACUCAAGCUGGAGAGAACUUGAAGAGAAUGCAAGGAAAUUAAGAUAAGUGCUAUUAAGUUACAAAAAUAGUCUUUACUUCUAAAUUUUUGAGCAUUACUAAAUUGUGAUGGAAAAAAAUACAAACCAUAGAAACUUGACAUCCUUUUCUAAGAGGAUAUCCAAGCAAGAGGCAGGAAAUACAAUUUCACUUUCUUUCUCUUCUGCUCAUUUGCCUCUUGAAAUUUUCUUUCAUUAGUUCCUAUUUGGGAUUGAGCUUAAAACUUGCUUUAUGGAAAAGCACCCUUUUAGAUGUUGGAAAAAACAGUUUGAAACUACUGUUCAGCUAUUUUGAAGUUCUUAUGAGUGGAACAAGUGAAAUAUAACUUAAAACAAUUUUUAAUGAUCUCUAAUUAACAUAUUUAGGAUGGUGCUUUUCUCACUAACAACUUGAACGAUGCCAAAUUAACCCAUUAUUCAGAUUGAGGUUGAAGCCAGUCUGAAAUGGAGCAUUUAAAGAUGCAGCACACCAUGUCCAACAAGGAGUAGAUGAAGAAAGAGGUUAAAAUGAGCAUCCACCACCUUAAAAGUGAGAUCAAGAAUAAUCAUUGAGAUCAAGAAUAAUCAUUCUGGUUUCUUACCAGUUAUGAUGUGCAUAGAGUUACUGAGUAGAAAACUUAUAAGUUAGGAUAGUAUACGUACAUGCACAGCCAUGGCAUGUGCUACAGUUAAUAUAUAAGUUGUUCUAGUGAAAUUGAUUUUCCAUCCUAGUGUGUUGUGGUAGUGUGGUUCAUUUGGAGGCAACUGUUUAAUUAAAUAUGUUGUGCUUGUUUUCUUGUGCAUCCUUCAUUGCAUUGGAGAUUCAUUGAUCUCUAAGGGAUGUGCUAUCCUGAAUUACUGAGGAAAGUACAUUAUAUGCAAAUUUUACUUGAUAUAAAAGGUUGUGGUAUUCUUGUGACUCUGAGGAAUGAGGAUUGGUCUAAAAUGAAGAGGGUUUGUGUGGAAAUGUUCUCUCUCUCUCUCUCUCUCU
rnacentral:misc_RNA from 1 species